GUGCUCGCUUUGGCAGCACAUAUACUAAAAUUGGAAUGAUGCAAAGAAGAUUAGCAUGGCCCCUGCACAAGGAUGACAUGCAAAUUCAUGAAGCGUUCCGUAUUUUU
ensembl:snRNA U6 U6 spliceosomal RNA